AUGCAACGCUGCUUCCCUUCCCGGAGCACCAGGCGGCAGGCGCCUCAUCACGGCGGAGGCGUGACCGUCGUGUCCUGCGGCGAGGGCGAGGGCAGCGUCAAGAUCGUCGUGAGCAGGGGCGAGCUGGAGCGCAUCGCCGCGGGCGUCAGCCGGAGGCAGUGCCGGCACGUCGUGGUGCCGUCGGCGCCCGGGCCUCCGGGGGAGGAGGAGCAGUCGGCGCGUGAGGGGGAGCGUGAUCGGCUGCUGCGGCGAUGGCCGGAGUCGGAGGGUGGCGCCGCCGUGCGGCGCGGCGAUUGGCGGCCUGAGCUGGGCGGCAUACCGGAGGAAGCGUAG
rnacentral:rRNA from 1 species